rnacentral:sRNA from 1 species
GCUGGGCAAGGUGGCACAUGCCUGUAAUCCCAGCAGCUGGGGAGGCUGAGACAGAAGGAUCAAGAGUUCAAAGCCAGCCUCAGCAACAGUGAGGCGCUAAGCAACUCAGUGAGACCCUGUCUCUA